rnacentral:lncRNA from 1 species
CGUAUGUAUAAUUUUUUUUUAAUGAGAAACGUGGUAUAAUGGUGUUAGGAAAUGUAAUGCUUUUACAAAGGAACGCAGACAAUUUGCGCAUUUUAACUGGAGUGCAAGAUAGAGAACUACAAACGCUGGGAAAACAGUGAACUACAAUUCCCAGCACCGCCAUCGGUAGCGCGUUGCGGUCGCACACAAAAUACGUCAUACAGAAAACUAGUGGAGGCUUCGUGGGCUGACCAUCGGUAAAGCAGGCGACCAUGGCAAAAAAUAAACAGAAAGGUCAGAAACAGAAGAAUGUGUUUCAAGUCGCCAACAAGAUGAAGAUCGCGAAGAAUAAAAACAAAGCGAAACCGGUGACGACGCACCUCAAGCGUAUCAGUGCUGUUAAAAACGAAAAAGUCGACAGCUUGAAUAAAACUUUCACAGCCAUUCAAAGGGAGGUGAAAAGUGUGUCCAGAUGCACAGCGCCAAAGGAAGUCAGAAAAACACCGCAGGUUGCCAGGGAACCAGCGAGGGAACCGGUGAAUGUGGACAAUGCAGCCCAGCUGUUGUCCCAGCUGUAGCAGAGGGUGGGAACGUCCGGAGGAGGAAUGCCGGAGAAGAGAUCCGCCGUGCCGUUCUCGCCGCACACGCACAAAGUGUGACGUUCGCCACCUCGGUGCGUGCGAAGCGGAGCCGACCUGGUUUAUUUCAAGAUGUCUGCAAGGCAGCCCGUUUGGGGAAGAACGGUGGACAGAAACUGAAAAGUGCUGUUGGUUCAUUGAUACAAAUGGAAGGAACGCCUGGUCCCCUGCAGCGGCGUCACUCUGCACCUCACCCAGAACCUUGUGUUGUAAACAAUCUGCAGCAGUUGCUUCAUUCAUAGGAACAUCUGUUCUCCUACAGCAAGUAUUCAUAUAGUUUUGGCAACGUGUGUCAGUACAAUGUCAAAUACUGCAGUAAAUUGCCUAGGGGGAAAUUGUUUUUCUGCUGUCGAAAAUCUGCAUUAAAUUUA